rnacentral:rRNA from 1 species
GAUGCACGCUGGCGGCGUGCUUAACACAUGCAAGUCGAACGGAAAGGCCCAAGCUUGCUUGGGUACUCGAGUGGCGAACGGGUGAGUAACACGUGGGUGAUCUGCCCUGCACUUCGGGAUAAGCCUGGGAAACUGGGUCUAAUACCGGAUAGGACCACAUUUUGGAUGGUGUGGUGGAAAGUUUUUCGGUGUGGGAUGAGCUCGCGGCCUAUCAGCUUGUUGGUGGGGUAAUGGCCUACCAAGGCGUCGACGGGUAGCCGGCCUGAGAGGGUGUACGGCCACAUUGGGACUGAGAUACGGCCCAGACUCCUACGGGAGGCAGCAGUGGGGAAUAUUGCACAAUGGGCGCAAGCCUGAUGCAGCGACGCCGCGUGGGGGAUGACGGCCUUCGGGUUGUAAACUCCUUUCGCUAGGGACGAAGCGUUUUUGUGACGGUACCUGGAGAAGAAGCACCGGCUAACUACGUG